rnacentral:misc_RNA from 1 species
GAAGUGGAAUUGGUGUUAAAACUUGGUUUGUUGUGUUCGCAUUCAGUGCCUGAAGUUAGACCAAGUAUGCGCCAAGUUCUGCAAUUCUUAGAUCGGGAUAUUCCUCUUCCAGAAUUGUCAUCACUUGGCCUCUCUUCAAGUGGCCUAACAUUUGCACACCCUGAAGGUUUUAGCGAUUUUGCCAUGUCCUAUCCAUCUUCCAUGAACCUGGCAUUCUCGCAUUCAUCUUCUGUAGCA